rnacentral:rRNA from 1 species
CCCGUCACACCAUGGGAGUGGAUUGCACCAGAAGUGCCUGUGCUAACCGCAAGGAGGCAGGGCCCCAAGGUGUGGUUCAUGACUGGGGUG